UACAGAGGUGGCAAGCGUUGUUCGGAAUUACUGGGCGUAAAGGGCGCGUAGGCGGCCCGAUAAGUCCCGCGUGAAAGCCCCCGGCUCAACUGGGGAACUGCGCGGGAAACUAUUGGGCUUGAGAUCGGGAGAGGGAAGCGGAAUUCCGGGUGUAGCGGUGAAAUGCGUAGAUAUCCGGAGGAACACCAGUGGCGAAGGCGGCUUCCUGGACCGACACUGACGCUGAGGCGCGAAAGCUAGGGGAGCAAACGGG
rnacentral:rRNA from 1 species